UGGGGAAUAUUGCACAAUGGGGGGAAACCCUGAUGCAGCGACGCCGCGUGAAGGAAGAAGUAUCUCGGUAUGUAAACUUCUAUCAAGCAGGGAAGAUAGUGACGGUACCUGACUAAGAAGCCCCGGCUAACUACGUGCC
rnacentral:rRNA from 1 species